CAAUUGAUAUCUUAAGAUUUAAAGAAUUGAUCUUUUAAAUCAAAAUAUAGUAUUAUUACUUCAAUUGA
rnacentral:tRNA from 1 species